ACACUGAAGCCCCGUUAGGUCCUGCACGGCACAUUACAGACACAUGCAAAACAUCAUUUUCAUUUCUAGAAAGUCUUCCAUGAACUAACUUAGUGUGUCCAGAUAGGAUACACUCUUUGAAAUGACACUGUGUGACCACUUCAUAGUGAAUAGAGUUGUGAAAUGUGAAAAAAUAAUGCUAGACUACAGUCGGUGUGGGAAGAUAAGAUCUUGUUCAGCCAUUUACAGGAGCAGAGGCUGAAGGCGGAGCACAACGAGCCUCACGUGGGCACCUGGACCCUCCAUCCUCCAUGGACAUGAUCAGCUGAUUCUAAUUAGCACAACUGUCCACCUCUGUAUUUUCAGCCAAUUAGCCCAGUUAGGAAAUAAAUGACUUGGCUAAACAGCC